CAGUUUUCCUGUGUAUUUCCCAGUGACCUGCAGACCAUGCAUCACACGUACUCGUUCUAUAGCAGAGGCAGUGUACCAGCAAAGCAAAUCCUACCUAUCAUGCGGAGAGGUAGGAGGUACAUUCCUCUCUCCCACAGUGGUGUAACUGCAGCUGUAAUGAGAAUAAGAAGAAAUCCAUAGUGUUUCCUAGGAAACACCAUACAGCUCCUAGCUAAAUGGGAGAUGAUCGGAACAGACACUGCAGGGUGAC